UACAGAGGUCUCAAGCGUUGUUCGGAUUCAUUGGGCGUAAAGGGCGCGUAGGCGGGUUUCCAAGUCGGGGGUGAAAUUCCAGGGCUCAACCCUGGGACGGCCUUCGAUACUGGCAGCCUGGAGAUCGGGAGAGGUGAGUGGGAUUCCGAGUGUAGAGGUGAAAUUCGUAGAUAUUCGCAAGAACACCAGUGGCGAAGGCGGCUCACUGGCCCGGUACUGACGCUGAGGUGCGAAAGCGUGGGGAGCAAACAGG
rnacentral:rRNA from 1 species